rnacentral:rRNA from 1 species
GAUGAACGCUGGCGGCGUGCCUAAUACAUGCAAGUCGAGCGAACAGAUGAGGAGCUUGCUCCUCUGACGUUAGCGGCUGACGGGUGAGUAACACGUGGAUAACCUACCUAUAAGACUGGGAUAACUUCGUGAAACCGGAGCUAAUACUGGAUAAUAUAUUGAACCGCAUGGUUCAAUAGUGAAAGACGGUUUUGCCGUCACUUAUAGAUGGAUCCGCGCCGCAUUAGCUAGUUGGUAAGGUAACGGCUUACCAAGGCGACGAUGCGUAGCUGACCUGAGAGGGUGAUCGGCCACACUGGAACUGAGACACGGUCCAGACUCCUACGGGAGGCAGCAGUAGGGAAUCUUCCGCAAUGGGCGAAAGCCUGACGGAGCAACGCCGCGUGAGUGAUGAAGGUCUUCGGAUCGUAAAACUCUGUUAUUAGGGAAGAACAAAUGUGUAAGUAACUAUGCACGUCUUGACGGUACCUAAACAGAAAGCCACGGCUAACUACGUG